UAAGGAAUUUUCCACAAUGGGCGAAAGCCUGAUGGAGCAACGCCGCGUGCAGGAUGAAGGCCUUAGGGUUGUAAACUGCUUUUAUAUGUGACGAAUAUGACGGUAGCAUAUGAAUAAGGAUCGGCUAACUCCGUGCCAGCAGCCGCGGUCAUACGGAGGAUCCAAGCGUUAUCCGGAUUUACUGGGCGUAAAGAGUUGCGUAGGUGGUCUGUUAAGUAAAUAAUUAAAUCUUGUGGCUCAACCAUAAAGC
rnacentral:rRNA from 1 species